rnacentral:rRNA from 1 species
AUGCUUAAUGAUAUUUGGGACUUAAAGGUUCCCAAGAAGGUUAUGAUCUUCUGUUGGCUAUUCUACCUUGAUCGCCUAAACACAAGGAAGAAUCUGCAUAAGAAGAGCAUUCUAGACUCUUCAGCUUGUCCUAGAUGUACUCACUCGGUUGAGGAUCGACAACACCUUUUUUUUUACUUGUCCAGCAGAUCGCAGGAUCUGGAGAGCAGCCGGCAUCUGCCCUCUUUACACUCCUAUCACAAGUCUCUUCAGCACGACGCUUCCGGAUUCGCUGCCUACCACGGUCCGCCCCUUCGUGCUCCUUUUGAUUCUUUGGAAAAUCUGGGACGCACGCAACAAGAAAGUUUUCCAAGGACUAGAUGUUGUGGCCUCAAACUCCUUGAGAGCUAUCUUGGAUGA